CACAGGUAGAAGCUUCCCAUGACGUUUCUUGAAAUCCAAUGGAUCUAAUACAAAGGAUGACAACUUCCUUAGCUCUUUCAAAUCAGGACAUCUGAAAUUGUACUUCUUAGUGUUCCUUCGUCCACAGUCCAUGGUCUAAAAAUAUUUGCAAAUAAGACCUUGGUUCCUUGAAGUUAUUUUUUUGUGUGUGAUGAAUGUCAUGAUGUGCAUGAAUGCAUGAAUGUAACAAUCAAAAACAACGGAUCACACACAAGGCAAACACAAACAAAGGUCAAGGGAUGAAUCAAGUCAUUGUCAAGAUUAAUCAUCCAUUUUGGUGGAUUAUAGUUUUCACCUUAUCAACACCCAAGUUCCAUUGAUAUUAACAAGACUUAAUUGGAUCAACCAAGAAUCAAAGGGUUUGUUGUGAGUCACUAGCAUGGAGUCAGGUUAAGAACCACCCCAAAGUAGUGUACUAAGGAUAAAAACCUGUAGAUCAUGUUCUAAAAAGUUCCCAGAGUCUUAAUUCCAUCUAUCAGAUAUUAUAGGUUAGGGUGACUGACUCAUCAACCCAUAAUAUUUUCAAGAGAAACUCGUCUGAGUGUAGUAUCGCGUAACAACUGCUAUAAAGACUACACCUAAAUAGUCUUUGCAAUACGUCCUAAAUAGGACAAAUUGGGUUAAAUGUUCUACGGUCCUCAGCUUCUCGGACCCCAAAUUAGAGAAAGUAAUGUCUAACCACAAAUAACUUGUGUGACAUUAGUAACUCCAAAAGGGUCUCCACUGAGUAGAUGGAUUUCAAGCCAAUUUGUUAAGGACUAAUCCACACAAGUAGAACAUGACUAUACCAUCUUCCUAUCUUAAUUGCACUCAAGUUCGGGAUAGAACUUAUCUCACCACUCAGAGAUCAUCGGGCAUAACAAGCAGAUUAUAUCACACAAAGAAGUAUAUAAACAUCAAAUAUACAAAUAUAUACACAUAAAAAAGUAGGCUAAACCCACUGAGGACUACUCCCCAGCAAAGUCGCCACUUAAUUUCUGUAGCGGUAAAUUCAUGACCAUCAAACUAUGGAUAAGCUUAACAUCAACAAAACAAGAGUCGUCGUCGCGCUUUUACUGUUUCCAAAGGAAAAGGAAAAAGUACGAACAAACCCCAAAGAGAAUAAGUUUUCAAAUCAAAACUAAUAAAAUGCCAGAGAUUACAGGUAAUGGGGUUGGUUACACAGAGGGAAGGUGUUAGCAUCCACAUUGUCCUAUGUACUCCUAGGGAGCCCUUUUUUAUGUGUGUAUGUGUUUUUGGUAUAAAAGAUGUUUGAAACAAAUAGAGUGUGUAGAUGAGAAGAAGAAUUCAUUAAUUAUACUUUUGUGUUUGACAAGACCUUCGGACUUGUGCCUACGUAUCAACAUAAAAUGAGGGAUCAAAACCUCGUAGUUCAUGGUAUCAAUGUCAAAAUGAGUGAGUUGCUUUUAAUCAAAAUUAUAAUUUAAAAGAGGCACAAAGGGCCCAAAAGUUUGCAUGAGUGUUAGUUCUUUUUGUCUUUUGAAAUUUUAAGUCAAUAUGGUUAAGUUCAUUUACAAGUUUGAUUAAGAAAAGAGUUUUAAAAUCUAAUGGCAUAAGGCCAAAGUUUCUAAUUUGCAAUAAAGUCUAAGUUUGAAAUCACAAGAAAAGAAAGUUUUUGAAAAGGGGGAGAGAUUUUGAAAUUUAAGAAUUGGGAGAAGAUGAAGAGACUAAUCCUAAGCAUAAAAUUAAAAGUUAAGAGUUGAAAGAUCUGACAAAUGGGAUGCAAUCCAACAAACAAGAAUGUCAUAUAGAAAACCCACUUUCUCUUUGGACUUUGAAUCAAACAAUAGUCAGUAAGCAAUUAGCAAUAUGAAGAGCAAGGCAUCAAAUAAAGAUGGUCACAUCCAAGCAAGCAAGUCCAUAGCUAACCGUCUUCUUUGUCUUCUCAUGAAUCAGAUGAAAUACUCCUUGAGUUUUUACUCAGAAUAAGGUAUUAGGCAUGAGAUCAAAAUAACAGUUGCAUCAAGACCAUGGAGCAGAUGAACUCAAGUGGAUCCAAAUACUUGCAUCAGAUGAAAACCCAAAUCACAAUAACUUGGUCUCAGAAAUGUUGGCAUUGGCCAAAUCCUUUUGCAUAUGGAAUGUUUCCUAAUUCUAAGUCCAAAAGUUCAUAUCAGACCCAACAGUCCACACAAACAUUUUUCAGGGUUUUUUGCUGUUUAUUAAGUAUUUUAAGGUCCUAAGACCAAAACACAAACAAAAUACACAAACAAAUAUAUACAAUCACAAUAUAUGGCUCAAAUGAGCAAAAUGAAAAUGACAUAAACAUAAACAAGUUAAAUGAUAUGUAAAUGGAAAUGAAUGGUAAAUGACUUGAAAUUAAAUUGCAUAAAGUAAAUGACUUGAAAGAAAAGCAAAUUUAAUAAUAGUUAGUGUUAGUCAUAGCUAAGUAGAUGUUAGCGGAGUUUUUCUUUUUAAUUGAUUAAGUCAUUCUUUGGGGAACACUCAACCAUCUAUUCACAAGCAUGGAUCCUUGAACCAAGACAUCUUCCAAAGGAAAGAAAAAAGGCCAAGUUUCCACACAAUACCAUGAAAGAUGGGAGACUUACAAUCUCACUUACUAGAAUGUUAUGCCUUUAGGGUCAAAUUUAGCUCUAUGUUAAGCAAUCGUAAUUGGACUUAUGUAGAAUUCACAACUAUCUGAGGUCGGGAAAUAAAAAUUUGGAUACUAAUGCAUGUUAGAGAUUUGGUAUAAUGAACCAAACUUCUAAAAUAUACCACACACUAAAAGAAAAAGAUCAAAGGUUGGACCUAUCUCAUCCAUACUUGUAUUGGUUCAUCUAACAUAAGGCUAUUGAUGAACCAAUUAGCCUUAGGAUUUGGAGAUUUCAUUGGUCAAUGAAAGGGAUGGGAAUUAAUGGGAUUGAAGAUGAAGAGGGAAGGGAGAUGAGAGAAACACAAAUUGGCCAUGGGAGGAAUUUUAUCAAAUUAAAAUCAUUCAUUCAUUUUGGGAGAUGGAUUGUACAUUUCAUCAAUCCCCUAAAUCCAAUUAUUUUAACUCAACAAAAGUCAAAUCAACCUUGACCAAGGCCCAAACACAUAGUCAAACAUCACAAGUCAAUGAAAAUGGCUCAACAAAACUUUUACACAAUUAAUCAAUUAAAAAUAUAUUUAAAUUCAAUUUAAUUUGGUCAAAACCUAAAAUCUCUUCAAAACACCAAAUAAAUGGCCAAGAGAUUUAUCCUAGGUCAAACAAGGUCAAAGGACCUUAGACAAGAAAUUUCAUGAUUUUUUAAAAGUCAGAAGUAUUUUUAAAUAAUAAAAAAUAUGCACAAAAACAAUUAAUUCAUAAAAAAUAUCAAAAUUAAUCCAAAAAAUAAUUUUAAUUCAGAAAAUGAAAGAGGAAAAUAUUUAAAGAUUUUUGGUGAAAGUCUCAUAUUUUUUGAAUUAAAAAUGAAAUUAAUAUGAAUUAAACAAAAUAAAGGGAUUAAAUGAAAAAAAUCAGAAAAAAAAUAAAAUAGAAUUAAAAAAAACAAGGCCCAUCAGAUCUUCCUCAUUAAUUGAGGUGGCAGAUGUGAGGGUCACACGCGCGCGUUCCACCAUGCACUCAAGUCAUAUUAAUGUACGCAUGGUAAUGCAAAAUAAAGGUCCAGAUUAUAACAUCCAAACAUGAUCAGAUGGCCAUGAGGUGUGUCAACACACCACCGGAGCUAGGGCUCCGGUCAUCUUCUCCGGUGACCUCCACCAGACUGGUCCAACUUUAUUUUAAUGGAAAAUGACAAACAAGGACGUUAUUUCAACGAGAAAAUGCUCAGGAUCACGAAUCUGACCUCACUUUUCUCCAAUUCCAAGUUAAUAAAGAGAUACAUGGAUUUGAAUUUUGAGGAUCAUGAACUGAGUUGCUUAGAUUUGACCUCAAAACAACUUAAUCUUCUUGCCUAUAUUGGUAGGACUUCAGCCAACCAAAAAUCAUAAAGAAUGGUGAAGAACUGAGGGAGAAUUGAAGAGAUGGAAAUUCUGAAAAAUUACCUUCGGGGGAGCUUCAACAUUGCUUGAUCUUGAUUCUAAUUGUCAUUGACUUUGUUUGAGAAGCUUGUAGGAAGUGAUUAAGAUCAGAAAAUGGCCUGGACUCUUGGAGUUUCAAUCUCAAAACAAAAUGAGAUUUGAAGCUCGACUUUCAAAUGAAAACCUUUAAGAUUAUCCUUUAGUGGUGAGGGUUUGGAAUACAUGUUCAAAGCCUGGGCAUGAGAGGUUGUAUUUAUAGGCCAUGAGAUUCAUUUCCACACACUUCCAAAUUUUGCCUAUUUUAGCAAUUCACCUUGCAUGCUUGCAUGGGCGUGUGAUAGGCCCAUCAAGUGAUGUAUUCAGGUCCAAAAUUGCUUGAGAAUCAUGGGAAGGAGCGUGUUGUCUAUAUUGUCAACGACUUAAUGACUUAUGGAUCUCUUCUUGAUUCAAAAUCGACAGUUUUAUGCAAAGCCGCCUCUUGAACAAUGUUAUUCUUCGGAUUAAAAUUAUGUAAUAUUUCUUCAAUUUGAAUCAAUCUCUCUGUUAUGGUAUGUGAGUGCUACUACUGCACCAUAUGGUAGAUGCUGCUCAGCAGGUCCUUGCCUCCCUACAAACCUUGAUUAGCCUACAAGAGUUUAAAUUCGGGAAUCAUUUAUUAUACAUGCAUCAUUGUAGGGAGCAUUGGAGGCUUGAACGAAGGUCCGCCUUGCUGAAACUGUUGUGUAGAUAUAAGGAAUGAAGGAGGUUGAAACACUUUAUGAUAUGUCAUAGGUUGGACAUGAUCUUGAGGUAAGGGAAUAAGUGGAGUAGUACUUGAUUGCUUGUCCCUUAAGGGGGUGAAUGAUUCAUGGCUACCUUAGCGGCAACAAUAACUUGUCGUUGGACGACGAAGCGAGUAGCUUUGGAAGCCGCCAUUAUUGCAGAUACAAUGGAUGAUUUGAAGGAGGAGAUUUUGAAUAUAACAUAAGUGAUUAGGAAAUGGAGAUCCAAGCUUCGAUUGAAAGAGAUGUGGUUUUCUAAUAGGAGAAGGCUCGAUUAAAUCGAGAGAAGUUUAAUCGUGAAAAAUCGUAGAAAUUAAAAGUUGAUUCCAUAGAUGGCGCCAAUGUUUUGUGUUGGAUCUAGAAUUGAUUGGAGUGUAUGAACCUGAAGUUGAUUGUGGUGGUUUGGGGCUUCUGAUGAAUUGGAGAAGGAGCCAACCUACAAUGUUAGCACAUCAAUGAUCAAAUCAGUAAGAGACUAAAAAUAAAGUUUGAAUGAAAAAUUAUUUGAAUACAUAUGAAGUGGUACAUUUUUAUCUAAAAUAAAAGAAAUGAUUGAUAACUGCAUGCGUGAGAUGCAUUUGAUGAUCAGAUUUACCUAGCCGCUCGCAUUAAAGUUGACCUACUUCUAAAAAAAAAAAAAAAUACAAUUAUUAUAUCGAAUGAUGCCUUAAUCUUUAUUGAGCUUAUGUUUCUUUAGACCUUCUGGACAAUCCAUCACAACUUAUUAAGAAAAGUUAAAUUCAAAAAAGAUGAUCUAUUAGAGUGUUUCGUGUCAAAUAACAAGAAGGGAAUUUGGUGAGUGGAUUCCCCCGGAAAAAGGAUUAAGAAUAGUGCCAAAAGCAGCAAGCCCGUCCAAUGUACCAUAAUAAUUAUUUAUAACGUAACGGGCGCCGAGUGAUUGGCCACAAUGUCAAAAAGCAUUGGCGAAAUAUCACGAUAACGUGUAUCCAAUGUCCCUAACUUCAAAUAUUUUCAUCCACCAUUUAAAAAAGUCUAACUCAUUUCCACUACUUUGCAUUUAAUUAUUAUAAAAAAAAGUCGAUAAUUUUUAACAAUAUUCCCCUCCGACAUUCAAAGUAAACAGACGCCUUCUUUCUUUGUCUUCGCAUGUUUUAUGUCUUGUGGAUAAGCUUCAAUCUUCAUGUGCCGCUCCACCAUUCCUCUCCCUUUCCCACUAUUUCAUUCAACAUUAUUUUAUCUAUUAUCAUGUUUUGCUGUCAUUAAUUAAUGAGCAUGCCUUCAUAACAAAAUCAAAUAAAAAAAAUAUUUUCAUUACUUUAAUUUUAAUUUUCUCCCACGCAAAUUUUAAAAUAAUUCUUCAAACCACCGCGACUUUCAAAUUCCUCGUUCUUCAUGCACCCUAGCACAAUACAAUCCUUGCAGUCCACACGUCUUUUUUCUCCUUUCCCAGCUGUUUCAAAUUUCACAAUCCACAUCUUCUUUCUCUUCUCAUAUAAAUACCCUUCUCUCUUCCCUUAUCCAUUUCAACUCCACAACACAAACACAAAACACAACAAUUACUCUAUUCUCAUUCUUAUCAUUGAAAAAGAAAACACUACAACUACUACUAACAAUUUUACUUAUAUUCAAACAUGGUUGAUUUACACUGGAAAUUAAACAUGCCAAAUUCCGACAUGCCUUCCAAAUCUCCAAAACUUUCUAUCUCCGACAAGUCCUCACCACGCAACAACUCCCUACCGUUGUUGCAACCACCUUCAAUCACAAAUGAUAUCUCCGCGGCGGCACCUCCUCUUUGCGCGGCGUAUGACUACUACCUCCGCCUCCCGGAGGUCCGCAAGCUUUGGGAAUCAAGAGAAUUCCCAAACUGGAGCAAUGAACCAAUCCUAAAACCAGCUUUGCAAGCUCUCGAAAUCACCUUCCGUUUCAUCUCUACGGUUCUCUCCGACCCCAGACCCUAUACGAACCGAACAGAAUGGAACCGUAGACUCGAAUCCAUUGCCACGCAGCAGAUUGAGAUUAUCGCC
rnacentral:lncRNA from 1 species